UACGUAGGUGGCAAGCGUUGUCCGGAUUUACUGGGCGUAAAGAGCGCGCAGGCGGUCGUUCAAGUCGCGUGUGAAAGCCCCCGGCUCAACUGGGGAGGGUCACGAGAUACUGAUCGACUCGAAGGCAGGAGAGGGUAGUGGAAUUCCCGGUGUAGUGGUGAAAUGCGUAGAUAUUGGGAAGAACACCGGUGGCGAAGGCGGCCAUCUGGACCGCAACUGACGCUGAGGCGCGAAAGCGUGGGGAGCAAACAGG
rnacentral:rRNA from 1 species